rnacentral:rRNA from 1 species
UACAGAGGGUGCAAGCGUUAAUCGGAAUUACUGGGCGUAAAGCGUGCGUAGACGGUAGCGUAAGUCGGGUGUGAAAGCCCCGGGCUCAACCUGGGAAUUGCAUUCGAGACUGCUCAGCUAGGGUGCGGAAGAGGGGAGCGGAAUUUCCGGUGUAGCGGUGAAAUGCGUAGAUAUCGGAAGGAACACCAGUGGCGAAAGCGGCUCCCUGGUCCAGCACCGACGUUCAGGCACGAAAGCGUGGGGAGCAAACAGG